rnacentral:rRNA from 1 species
UACGUAGGGGGCGAGCGUUGUCCGGAGUUACUGGGCGUAAAGGGCGUGCAGGCGGUGCGGUAAGUUUAGCGUGACAGUCUCCGGCUUAACUGGAGAAGGCCGCUGAAAACUGCUGGACUUGAGGGCCAGAGAGGGACAUGGAAUUCCGGGUGGAGUGGUGAAAUGCGUAGAUAUCCGGAGGAAUACCAAAGGCGAAGGCAGUGUCCUGGCUGGCAACUGACGCUGAGGCGCGAAAGCCUAGGGGGAGCGAACAGG